UGAAUGCUAUGCGUUUGUAACGGCAUUCUUUUUUGAGGUACGAUAAAAAGAUACAGUGGAAGGCCUGGUACUAC
rnacentral:sRNA from 1 species